rnacentral:lncRNA from 1 species
CCCCUCAACCUUCUUCUCCUGCUCCUCAACCCUCUACUUCUCCACCAGCUUCUACCCCUCAGCCUUCUGCCCCUGUUCCAGCUCCCCAAGCUAGCUCCCCUUCACCCAUCUCUCCACCAACGUCCCCGGCGACCCCACCAUCCUCUUCCUCACCCCCACCUUCAACGGCAACACCACCAUCCUCCACCACCUCACCCCCACCAUCAACGGCAACACCACCAUCCUCCACCACCUCUCCCCCACCUCCCGCCGGAGAUAACGGUCCCACCCCACCACCGCCUGGCAACUCGGCAACAUCUCUAGGUGUUGCUGGGCUGUCCGCUACUUGCCUGUCCUUUAUUAUAGCUUUGUUCAUGUGUUAAUUAAACAUAGUAGUAAAAUA